GGGAUGUAGUCCUGGUUGUAGUUCUUUGUUGCAGGUGGGAUGUAGUCCUGGUUGUAGUUCUUUGUUGCAGGUGGGAUGUAGUCCUGGUUGUAGUUCUUUGUUGCAGGUGGGAUGUAGUCCUGGUUGUAGUUCUUUGUUGCAGGUGGGAUGUAGUCCUGGUUGUAGUUCUUUGUUGCAGGUGGGAUGUAGUCCUGGUUGUAGUUCUUUGUUGCAGGUGGGAUGUAGUCCUGGUUGUAGUUCUUUGUUGCAGGUGGGAUGUAGUCCUGGUUGUAGUUCUUUGUUGCAGGUGGGAUGUAGUCCUGGUUGUAGUUCUUUGUUGCAGGUGGGAUGUAGUCCUGGUUGUAGUUCUUUGUUGCAGGUGGGAUGUAGUCCUGGUUGUAUAGUUCUUUGUUGCAGGUGGGAUGUAGUCCUGGUUGUAUAGUUCUUUGUUGCAGGUGGGAUGUAGUCCUGGUUGUAUAGUUCUUUGUUGCAGGUGGGAUGUAGUCCUGGUUGUAUAGUUCUUUGUUGCAGGUGGGAUGUAGUCCUGGUUGUAUAGUUCUUUGUUGCAGGUGGGAUGUAGUCCUGGUUGUAUAGUUCUUUGUUGCAGGUGGGAUGUAGUCCUGGUUGUAUAGUUCUUUGUUGCAGGUGGGAUGUAGUCCUGGUUGUAUAGUUCUUUGUUGCAGGUGGGAUGUAGUCCUGGUUGUAUAGUUCUUUGUUGCAGGUGGGAUGUAGUCCUGGUUGUAUAGUUCUUUGUUGCAGGUGGGAUGUAUGAAAUAUGGCAGAGUUUGUUGCUGUUGGUUUUGAGCCUUCGUUUAGUUUAGCUUUAAGUUGACAC